rnacentral:rRNA from 1 species
GACGAACGCUGGCGGCGUGCUUAACACAUGCAAGUCGAACGAAGUGGCGAACGGGUGAGUAACGCGUAAUCAACCUGCCCUUCAGAGGGGGCCAACAGUUGGAACCGACUGCUAAUACCGCAUACUGAAGGAGGGGCUUGCGUCCGAUUAGCUAGUUGGAGGGGUAACGGCCACCCAAGGCGAUGAUCAGUAGCCGGUCGUGGGGGAUGAACGGCCACAGUGGUACUGAGACACGGCCCAGACUCCUACGGGAGGCAGCAGUGGGGAAUCGUCCGCAAUGGACGGAAGUCUGACGGAGCAACGCCGCGUGAGUGAUGACGGCCUUCGGGUUGUAAAGCUCUGUUAAUCGGGACGCGGUACCGGAAUAGAAAGCCACGGCUAACUACGUGCCAGCAGCCGCGGUAAUUC